AAAUCAGCUGCAUGUGGUGGGUUUUUGUUCACCUUCUCUCCAGCUGUAUCCAGUAAUCCCAGCUCCAUGGACUUGCUUGUACCUUUUGAGCUAAAUGCUGUAGCUAUGCUGCUAGUCCCUUGAAGUCCUAGCUGUGCUACAAGGGCAGCCCUGGGGUAUCUGCUCAUGGUUGUUCUAGCCCCAUUCUUGUGCAGGGCUGCUUUGAGCGAGGAUGGGCAACGUGGAGCUCCAGGGGCCUUUCUCCCAGAUUCCUCUUUUUCGUGCUUGGGCGAGCCGUGUGCCUGGGGACCCCAGCCAUGGAUGGUCCCAGAAACCUGAAGAAGGUGAUGGGAGCCUUGUCCUUUCAGCUAUUUCACCACUACCAUGAUCAUAUUCACAGCAUCACUUUGGACGUUUUGGGGCUGCAGCUGCACUUCCCACUUCUCUUAUAAACGUGUUGACCAAAGAAUUACAAGCCCUAUUCAACAUGACCUUUGCAGUUCCCGUCCUCCCUGUGCACACUUCCCACUAGACUUAUAUAUUCUUUUCUCCGGCUGUGUGGGUUAUUUUUUUCUUUCCUUUGAAAAAAAGAGGUGAUGGGGGGAGGGUCUGAAGAUAGCCUGGUGUUUAGUGGGGUCUCCGGGGGCACUGAGUGGCUCCAGCCUUAUCCAUAUGUUGGUAACUCCUGUAGUACAGCCAAUGAGAAGCGCCCCAGGGCCUUCAUUGCUGAGCAGCUUCCUGAAUACCUGGCUCAUGAAGUGCCGAAAUAAUCAUAACGAAUCAUUUAAUAUGUCAGAACACGGCAAUUACUCUCCACUUGAAUAAAAACUUGUCAUAAUUCUCCCUUCAAGGCAGCCGCCUUGGCCCCGAGGUCUGGGUGCUGAAGUUUGCUCGGUGUGCUGUUGUUUAUUUCUUUUUCCACACUGCUAUGAAUGGGUGGAAGUAAAAUAAAAUAAAAUAAAAAAAAACUUACUUAUAAGUUUUCAUAUGAAAAAAAUGAAGGAAAAAAAAGACUUUGGAAGCCAUGUCCGGACUCUGGAAAGGAGGGUGUAGAGAAGGGGGGAUGAAGGCCUGCCCUGCCAGGAUUUAGUGCAGGCCAACCCGCUGCUCCAUUACUGCCACUAGCAGCAUGACCCAUUUUCUACGUAACAAACCUGUGUGCAUGGCCCAAGAGAGACCGUGUGAGAAAGAAAGUUUUUUAAGCAUUGCUCUUUCAAACUGCUAAGGGUAGGGUUUGUCCACGAACAGUGGUGCUGUCUGCACCUGAGCGCCUCAGCUGGAGAGGGAUGAUGGCAUCUUUUUUUUCAAGAAGCUUUGAAAAUCCUUAGUGAACACGAGGGCAUCUUGACAUGGGUGAGUGCACCGAGCACUGUUAAACCAUAGCAUCGCUCAUGGUUUCAAAGUAAAGGUCAGAGGGUGAAAGGAAAGCACAUGCUUUUGGUUUUGAAAUGGCUGUCCAGAAUAGGGCCAGGUCUGUUGGUAGGGCGAUGGAAAUGUCUGUCUGUGGCGUGGGGCUGUUGAGCUGCUCUGUUUGCGCAGGCAUUAGACUUCAUGAGAGAGGAAACGAUCUAAAAAUGUUUCUCUCCCCCUACUGAAGGGGAUGUGUUCACAGGCUGCUGCACGUUCCUACUUAAAAAGAACCAGAACUCACCCUACGCAACCUUGAAAAUCCCAGGAAGAGCACACUGAGAAACAUGGAAGUGUUUCCAUGGGAACUCUUACUAAUAAAACGAACCUCGGUUCUCAAUUCCUGCACCAAACUACAAACAGUGAACACUACAAAGGGAACCGGUAAAGAGCAGAAUAAACCAGCAAAGCUGCUAAAUGAGGCACGUGUGUGCCUCCCCACAAAAAUCAAGCAUAUAAACAAAAGCCCUCAGGAAAAUGAGGGGAAAAAAAUAGAGAAGGUCGUUUUAAUUAUAGCACAUCCAGCCAACGUAAACCCCAUGGAUUGUGUGAAAUCAGUUUUGUUCUUCUGGUACGCAGCAGGAAGCUCUGUAGCAGAUCAAAUGUGUUCAGGGAGGCUGUCUUGCUAAUUGCCGCUCCUGGCUGAGCCAAAGCAAACUGUUUAGACAAAGGAGAGAAUUCACUUUUUAUUUAGUAUGAAUUAUGAAGUAGGAUGGGUGGAUGGGCUUCACAGUAACACUGCGUUUCCUGGGGAAAAAUGUGUAGCUCUAAGCCUGUGAAAUAAUUGGAGAAUUAACCCCUUGCUUCAGGCUGGAACCCCAACACAUGCCUGUGUUUAAGCACAAGAUGAAUGCUGUCUUGAAUAAGGUUUCUCCUUUGAUUUCAGCAGAUGAUAGAUCUCCACUCACAGCCCAAUUUUAUUUUUGUAUGUUCUCACUUUACGCUGGUGUUGAAGCAAUGUGUUCUUUUAUUUCUGUUGUGACUCCUAUACUUUCUCUUGUGUUUUAAUUUUGAAGCCUGUUACGGCCAUUUCAGAACAUCGCUUUGGCUUCUCACUAAAGAUCUUGGAGUUUUGCAUUGGGUAUUUCAGGGCUGCAAUAUGUUGCUAGGACUGCUGGUAGCCCACUAAACAUUAACUGGAGGUUGUAUUGUCCUCCUGUGCUUUUUUCCUGCAGCAUCCAAGUGAUGUGCUCUAACAGUAGCUUAGCUGAGGGUUAGCAUGUGUAGUCAUGGACAAUUAAAAGCUGAAGUGGCAGUAGUGGCUAACAGAAGCGAGCUGUUCUCAGAUGUGAGGAACCAGUGCUGGAGCCACUGAUGCUCAGGCUGAGUGAUUGCAUGUCUCCAUAGGAAGUGGGAAUGGCGAUGAUGAACUUCCAGGUGUGUGUGGCCAGGUUUGUAGGAAGGGCAUGAAGAGGAGGAAUAGCAAUUGGCUAGGGCUGAAGGCUGACUCUUAUCAUUGUGUAACAAUACAGUAAUUGCUCUGGGUAUGCUUUCUUUUAUGUUGUUUUGAAUAUGCGUAAUGCAAACACUGCUUCUUGGAGCCCUUCUGCUCUGCGUGGUGCCAUCUGCAAAGACAGAUCUUCCAUACCAAGGGAAGAGGACUGCUCUCCAAGGGAACAAGAAGUCACAAAUAGCAUAAGGACCUCUAAAUGUCAGUGUUUGUGGUUCACUUUCUGUUUCACUGAACCAUAAUUCCAUCUGUCCUCUCUCUUAGCUGCCUCUCAACUCUGCUGUCCAUCAGCUCCCUGCAAAAGCAUCUGUUGGUGCACGUGGAAUCACCCCUGUGUGCCAGGGAACAGCCAACAGAUCUGUAGGGCUGGAAGGAGAGCAAAAGUUCAACAGCUUUUCAUCUGAAUACAUUAAAAGAAUAUAUAUAUAUAUUCACAAUGCACGAUAGAAAAAGUUCUAUUGAACUUUUGUACAGUAUAGGAAGAGAACUGUAUAAAUCGUUAGCGUCUUACCUGUCAGGAUCAGCAUGUGAAGACAUGAAGACAGCUUCGCUGGAGGAGCAAAGCUGCAAGUUAGCACAUUACUGUUAGUUUCCAUGCAGGAAAACAUCCACUCAGUAUGCAACCAGAGAACAUCGAGGAGGACCAGUAAUCCCCUUGCUGCACCCCAUGGGGAGCCUGGCCAGCCCGUCCCCAGCCUGAGGGUUUGAUCAUAGAAUAAAAUCAUUAAGGUUGCCACUUCUUCCCAUCUUUUCUCUACUUCUUCCACCUUUUCCAACGUUUUCCCAAAUUUCUCCAUGUUUUCCUUAUUUUCCCACCUUUUCCCAUGUUUUUCCAUGCAUGCUUUCCCAUUUUUUUUCCAGUGCUAUCCCAACUUUUCCCUUGCUUUCCCACUUUCCCCCUAUUUUUUUAUGCUUUCCCAACUUUUGUUUGACUUCUGCUUCCUUUUCCCUUGCUUUCCCACCUUUUUUUUCCAGUUUUUCCCAAUUUUUCUCAAAUUUUCUCAUCCUUUCCCAAG